UUUGGUGGUGCCAGCUUCGAACAAAUCUACUCCAGCCCCAUCUGGUACCACUUCGCAUGUAAGAUUGAUCUUCCUUGCCCUUCGCAUGUCGGUCUGACUUUAAUUUUACGAUCUAGCAGCACCGCCCAAGUUAAAAUCUGACACUUGAUUGUGAGGAUGUAUCGGGUAUUCGCGGGUUUACUAUCAACUAUUAGGUCAUAUUGCAACAAAUAAUUUCACAGCAAGAUAAUCUUACAAUGUACAACAUAAUCAUGGUUUUACUUGUUCGUAUGGGUAGUAAUGGGUAAACACUUUCCUCUCAAGUAAGAAGGGUGGGUGUUGGCCAGCAUACCUUGCUCGUUGACAUAGCCUUCAAUAUGCUAUCAUCUUGCUUGACAGAUGCUAUCAAGUAAUUUUCUCCCUGGAAAAUGAUCCCCCACUACUAGAUAUAGAAAAGGUAUAUUUACAGGAGCAUACACAUGUUUUGGUUUGUGGGGAUAGUUUGAAGACUAUGCAUAUUUAUUUGCUGAUGCUUAAUUAAAAACUAAAAGACGAGCACGACAACAGUCCAUGAGGAAAUUUAUUAGAGUUUCACGUAGUACUUGAUGAGAGAAGUCAAUGAUGGUUCAUUUUUUGAAUGAUUUGUUAAGUAUGCAAGGCUACUAAUUUGUGCAUACCUUUGAUGAAAUGAUUUGUUAAGUGAUUAGUUGGCUACCAAUCAUGGUGUAACAAUUAUGAUUGGUUUAUAUUUUUUAUGAUUCUAUUUACUGCUUCUUCGAAUUAUGAGCGAAAUUGGUUUGAUGCCAAAAAUGCAUGGCUACUAAUUGGUUGAUUACCAAGUUUUCUUGUCCAACUCACAUAAAGUUGCCAAUAUUUGGCAAUGCCAACACUGCUAGCAAGCCAAUCGUGAUCUAUCAGCAUGAAUGGUUCGAUGCCAAAAUUUGGAUGCCAAUAUCUGGCAAAAUGCCAAAUGUUGGCUAGUGAUUGGUUGGCUACCAACUAUUUUGGCCAAUGUCAAAAAAAUAUGCCAAAAAAUUUGUAACUUUGAAAUACCCCAAUUGGUUAUGCCUGCCCAAUGAUUAUGACUCUAACCACUAGUCUCGACUAGUCAUGCGAAUAGUCUAGUAGUAUCAAUUUGGUUGUCGAGUAUAUUUUUCGUGUAGAUGUUUGUACAUGAAGUACAUACCUAGCAAGAAGCAUCCGAAAAGAUUAUUCACAUUGUAUACGGUGCUAACAAGUCCUAAUGUAAGACUGAUUCCAUAUAUCAAUAACUACCAUUUGUUCAUUGCAAUGCAUGCAACAGGUUUGAAUGGCAAGGGAAACCAUCCUCAUAAGUAGUGAAGAGAGUGAUCACCUGACCACCUCAGGUGAUGCUUUAGAUAGCACUUCACAUGGGAGUGAUGGCUAUAGCGGUGAUGACGACACCUCUAGCGACUAUGACACUGUUAAUAGUUCUAAUGGAGAUGGUGUCACGACCGGUUUCCAAAUAAAUGAAUUAAUUGGAAAUCAGCCAUGUGCGUCCUUAGUGAAGAAAAUAUUUCCCACUUACACACUCAUCUUGAUAGAGAAAACCAGUAGUACUUAAUAUUAUACAAGUAGAGCAAGGGUUGCUCUACAAUUAUUACAACAUAUCCAAGUCUUAGGAAAAUGGAAUGUUACAGUGGUCUUAGCGUGACUCUACCGCUCGCGAAACUAAAAGGGUGCACGUAAAAUUAGAGUAAUGUGACAUGAAAAGUACUACUACAUGUUAAGCAUCAGAGUGAAGCUCAACGAUUUAUUCGGGGUGGAAGAAGCGAUGGAAUAAAACAGCGGCGGACUCCAGGAUCGCAAGACUGACCGGGACUCCUCUAGACAUCAGACUCGCUAUCGAACUCUUCAUCCAUGAGGUCUUUGAUGACCCACAUGUAUAGGGGAUCAAUCGUAGUCCUUUUGAUAAGUAAGAGUGUCGAACACAACGAGGAGUAGAAGGCUCUGAUAAACGGUUUUCAGCAAGGUAAUAAUUGCAAGCACUGAAAGUAGCGGUAACAAGUGAUGGUGUAGUGAGGUGAAACAUAGCAGGUGAAAAGUAACAAGUAACAAGUAAUAGCAACGGUGCAACAAAGUGGCCCAAUCCCUUUUGUAGCAAGGGACAAGCCUGAACAAAGUCUUAUAGGAGGAAAAACGCUCCCGAGGACACACGGGAAUUUCUGUCAUGCUAGUUUCAUCAUGUUGAUAUGAUUCGCGUUCGUUACUUUGAUAGUUUGAUAUGUGGGUGGACUGGCGCUUGGGUACUGCCCUUACUUGGACAAGCAUCCCACUUAUGAUUAACCCCUCUCGCAAGCAUCCGCAACUAUGAACGAAGAAUUAAGACAACGUCUAACCAUAGCAUUAAACUAGUGGAUCCAAAUCAGCCCCUUACGAAGCAACGCAUAGACUAGGGUUUAAGCUUCUCUCACUCUAGCAACCCAUCAUCGACUUAAUACUCCCCAAUGCCUUCCUCUAGGCCCAAUUAAUGGUGAAGUAUUAUGUAGUCGACGUUCACAUAACACCACUAGAGGAAAAACAACAUACAACAUAUCAAAAUACCGAACGAAUACCAAAUUCACAUGACUAUUAUUAGCAUGACUUAUCCCAUGUCCUCAGGAACAAAAGUAACUUCUCACAAAGCAUAAUCAUAAUCAUGAUCAGAGGUGUAAUGAGUAGCAUCAAGGAUCUGAACAUAAACUCUUCCACCAAGUAAUCCAACUAGCAUCAACUACAAAGAGUAAUCAACACUACUAGCAACCUUACAAGUACCAAUCGGAGUCGCGAGACGGAGAUUGGUUACAAGAGAUGAACUAGGGUUUGGAGAUGAGAUUGUGAUGAUGAAGAUGUUGAUGGAGACGAGUCCCCUCCGAUGAUAGGAGUGUUGGUGAUGACGAUGGCAACGAUUUCCCCCUCCGGGAGGGAAGCUUCCCCGGCAGGAUCGUCCUGUCGGAGCUCUAGAUUGGUUCUGCUCAAGUUCCGCCUCGUGGCGGCGGCGCCUCCUCGAAAAAGCUCCGCCCUGAUUUUUUUCCGGACGAAACCCUUCAUAUAGCAGAAGAGGGGAGCCAGUGGGCCACCAGGGUGCCCAGAAGCCCUGUAGCCGCGGCCAGGGGGGCAGGCCGCAGCCACCAGGCUUGUGGGCCCCUGGCAGUUCCCCUCUGGCACUUCUUUCACCCAAUAUUUUUUAUAUAUUCCCAAAAAAUUCCAUGUUGAUUUUCAAGGCAUUUGGAGUUGCGCAGAAUAGAGGACUCAGACUUGCUCCUUUUCCUGUCCGGAAUUCCAGCUGCCGGUAUUCUCGCUCUUCAAAUAAACCUUGCAAAAUAAGAGAGAAAAGGCAUAAGUAUGGUACCAGAAAGUAUAAUAACAGUCCAUAAAGCGAUAAAUAUCAACAUGAAAGCAUGAUGCAAAACGAACGUAUCAACUCCCCCAAGCUUAAACCUCACUUGUCCUCAAGCGAAAACUAAGAUCCAUAAACAUGUCCACAUGUUUAGGGAUGAAGGUUUUGAUAAAACAUAAUACGGACAUGAGGGCAUCAUGAUCACACAUAGAACAGCAAUAUAUCGUAAAGAUUCUCAUGGGACAGUAACAAUUCCUUCACAAAGCAAAGUAUGAAUCAAAAACCUUACCGAGAAGUAGCCAACAACAAUCCAUAGUCAUUGAAGCAAUUGCAAUUUAUCAUAACAUCACAAAGAGUCAAAUAAGAGCUUGUAAAGCAAAUCCUCAUACUCAAUCAUCUCUUUUGUUUUCCACAAUUAUUACAACUCACGUGGUACUCAUGGUAUCAAAGUUUCAGUUGGACACAGAGAACGAUAGGGGCUUAUAAUUUUGCCUCCCAACCAUUUACCUCAAGUGUAAAGUCAACAAUAAUAAAGCAUAAGUACUCAUCUCCUCGUUGAUAUAUGAAUAUAGAUCUUUCCCUAGCAUAUGACGUUCACCAAGAUGAAGACGGAAUAGGGAAUUGGUGUUGAUCACCAAGACUUUCACAAGAACAAAAGUAAAGGUACAAGAUAGGCCCUUCGCAGAGGGAAUCAGAGGUUGUCAUGCGCUUUUGAGGUUUGGAUGUGUGUCCUCUUAGUGCGGAGGAACGUCACUUUAUAUUGCCUCCUGUGAUAAAGAACUUUAUUAUGCAGUCUGUCGCUUUUAUGUCUUCCUCAUCACAGGUUCGUAUAAAGCUUAUUUUCCACACACUAAUAGGUCAUACAUAUUUGAGAGCAAUUUUUAUUGCUUGCACCGAUGACAACUUACUUGAGGGAUAUUAUUCAAUCCAUAGGUAGGUAUGGUGGACUCUCAUGGCAAAACAGGGUUGAAGGUUUAUGGAUGCACAAGUAGUAUUUCUACUUAGUACGGAACUUUUGGCUAAUAUGAGGUGGAAGCAAUCGUCACAUGCUAAGGGAUCUCUAAUCAUAUAACAUUGUUUCGAACCAAGCAAACACA
rnacentral:lncRNA from 1 species